rnacentral:rRNA from 1 species
CUUUGGACCUAUUUUGUUGGUUUAUAGGACCAGAGUAAUGAUUAAUAGGAACAGUUGGGGACAUUCGUACUUCGUGGUUAGAGGUAAAAUUCUUAGAUCCACGGAAGACGAACAUAUGCGAAAGCAUUUGUCAAGGAUGUUUUCAUUAAUCAAGAACGAAAGUUAGGGGAUCGAAGACGAUCAGAUACCGUCGUAGUCUUAACCAUAAACGAUGCGGACUGGGGAUUGGAGAACGUUUCAUUAUGACUCCUUCAGAACCCUGCGAGAAAUCAAAGUUUUUGCGUUCUGGGGGGAGUAUGGUCGCAAGGCUGAAACUUAAAGGAAUUGACGGAAGGGCACCACCAGGAGUGGAGCUUGCGGCUUAAUUUGACUCAACACGGGGAAACUCAC